rnacentral:pre_miRNA from 1 species
AAUAGAUGACGCCGUUAACUUUUUUUUACAUGUUUGACCAUUCGUCUUAUUUAAAAAAUUUACGUAAUUAUAAUUUAUUUUGUUAUGAGUUGUUUUAUCACUCAUAGUUCUUUAAGUGUGAUUUAUAUCUUAUAUAUUUGUAUAAAAUUUUUUAAAUAAGACGAAUGGUCAAACAUAUGAGAAAAAGUCAACGACGUCACCUAUU